CCUACGGGAGGCAGCAGUGAGGAAUAUUGGUCAAUGGUCGGGAGACUGAACCAGCCAAGCCGCGUGAGGGAGGAAGGUACAGAGUAUCGUAAACCUCUUUUGUCAGGGAACAAAGACUGGGACGCGUCCCCGGAUGAGUGUACCUGAAGAAAAAGCAUCGGCUAACUACGUGCCAGCAGCCGCGGUAAUACGUAGGGAGCAAGCGUUGUCCGGAUUUACUGGGUGUAAAGGGUGCGUAGGCGGCUUUGCAAGUCAGAAGUGAAAUCCAUGGGCUUAACCCAUGAACUGCUUUUGAAACUGCAGAGCUUGAGUGGAGUAGAGGUAGGCGGAAUUCCCGGUGUAGCGGUGAAAUGCGUAGAGAUCGGGAGGAACACCAGUGGCGAAGGCGGCCUACUGGGCUCUAACUGACGCUGAGGCACGAAAGCGUGGGUAGCAAACAGGAUUAGAUACCCUUGUAGUC
rnacentral:rRNA from 1 species